rnacentral:tRNA from 1 species
GGGCGGGUAGCUCAGCGGGAGAGCAUCGGCCUUACAAGCCGGGGGUCACAGGUUCAAACCCUGUUCCGCCCACCA